rnacentral:rRNA from 1 species
UCAGGCCUAACCCAUGCAAGUCGACCGGACCCUUCGGGGUUAGUGGCGGACGGGUGAGUAACGCGUGAGGAUCUGCCUACAGGUAGGGGACAACAGUUGGAAACGGCUGCUAAUUCCCCAUGUGCCGGAAGGUGAAAGGUUAACUGCCUGUAGAUGAACUCGCGUCUGAUUAGCUAGUUGGUGGGGUAAUGGCCUACCAAGGCGACGAUAAGUAGCUGGUCUGAGAGGAUGAUCAGCCACACUGGGACUGAGACACGGCCCAGACUCCUACGGGAGGCAGCAGUGGGGAAUUUUCCGCAAUGGGCGAAAGCCUGACGGAGCAACGCCGCGUGCGGGAGGAAGGCCUUAGGGUUGUAAACCGCUUUUAUCAGGGAAGAACACAAUGACGGUACCUGAUGAAUAAGCCUCGGCUAAUUCCGUCCCAGCAGCCGCGGUAAUACGGGAGAGGCGAGCGUUAUCCGGAAUUAUUGGGGGUAAAGCGUCCGCAGGUGGCCAAUUAAGUCUCGUCUGUAUGGAAUCCGGUG